rnacentral:rRNA from 1 species
UUUUAUGGAGAGUUUGAUCCUGGCUCAGGAUGAACGCUGGCGGCGUGCCUAAUACAUGCAAGUCGAGCGAACGGACGAGAAGCUUGCUUCUCUGAUGUUAGCGGCGGACGGGUGAGUAACACGUGGAUAACCUACCUAUAAGACUGGGAUAACUUCGGGAAACCGGAGCUAAUACCGGAUAAUAUUUUGAACCGCAUGGUUCAAAAGUGAAAGACGGUCUUGCUGUCACUUAUAGAUGGAUCCGCGCUGCAUUAGCUAGUUGGUAAGGUAACGGCUUACCAAGGCAACGAUGCAUAGCCGACCUGAGAGGGUGAUCGGCCACACUGGAACUGAGACACGGUCCAGACUCCUACGGGAGGCAGCAGUAGGGAAUCUUCCGCAAUGGGCGAAAGCCUGACGGAGCAACGCCGCGUGAGUGAUGAAGGUCUUCGGAUCGUAAAACUCUGUUAUUAGGGAAGAACAUAUGUGUAAGUAACUGUGCACAUCUUGACGGUACCUAAUCAGAAAGCCACGGCUAACUACGUGCCAGCAGCCGCGGUAAUACGUAGGUGGCAAGCGUUAUCCGGAAUUAUUGGGCGUAAAGCGCGCGUAGGCGGUUUUUUAAGUCUGAUGKGAAAGCCCACGGCKCAACCGUGGAGGGUCAUUGGAAACUGGAAAACUUGAGUGCAGAAGAGGAAAGUGGAAUUCCAUGUGUAGCGGKGAAAUGCGCAGAGAUAUGGAGGAACACCAGUGGCGAAGGCGACUUUCUGGUCUGUAACUGACGCUGAUGUGCGAAAGCGUGGGGAUCAAACAGGAUUAGAUACCCUGGUAGUCCACGCCGUAAACGAUGAGUGCUAAGUGUUAGGGGGUUUCCGCCCCUUAGUGCUGCAGCUAACGCAUUAAGCACUCCGCCUGGGGAGUACGACCGCAAGGUUGAAACUCAAAGGAAUUGACGGGGACCCGCACAAGCGGUGGAGCAUGUGGUUUAAUUCGAAGCAACGCGAAGAACCUUACCAAAUCUUGACAUCCUUUGACAACUCUAGAGAUAGAGCUUUCCCCUUCGGGGGACAAAGUGACAGGUGGUGCAUGGUUGUCGUCAGCUCGUGUCGUGAGAUGUUGGGUUAAGUCCCGCAACGAGCGCAACCCUUAAGCUUAGUUGCCAUCAUUAAGUUGGGCACUCUAAGUUGACUGCCGGUGACAAACCGGAGGAAGGUGGGGAUGACGUCAAAUCAUCAUGCCCCUUAUGAUUUGGGCUACACACGUGCUACAAUGGACAAUACAAAGGGCAGCGAAACCGCGAGGUCAAGCAAAUCCCAUAAAGUUGUUCUCAGUUCGGAUUGUAGUCUGCAACUCGACUACAUGAAGCUGGAAUCGCUAGUAAUCGUAGAUCAGCAUGCUACGGUGAAUACGUUCCCGGGUCUUGUACACACCGCCCGUCACACCACGAGAGUUUGUAACACCCGAAGCCGGUGGAGUAACCUUUUAGGAGCUAGCCGUCGAAGGUGGGACAAAUGAUUGGGGUGAAGUCGUAACAAGGUAGCCGUAUCGGAAGGUGCGGCUGGAUCACCUCCUUUCUAA